AUUGAACGCUGGCGGUAUGCUUACCACAUGCAAGUCGAACGAUGAGAAAGAGCUUGCUCUUCCGAUUAGUGGCGGACGGGUGCGUAACGCGUAGGAAUCUACCUAUUAGUGGGGGACAACUUAGGGAAAAUUAAGCUAAUACCGCAUACGCCCUACGGGGAAAGAAGGGGAUCGCAAGACCUUCUGCUACAAGCUGAGCCUGCGUAGGAUUAGCUAGGUGGUGGGGUAAAAGCGCACCAAGGCGACGAUCCUUAACUGGUUUGAGAGAAUGAUCAGUCACACUGGAACUGAGACACGGUCCAGACUCCUACGGGAGGCAGCAGUGGGGAAUAUUGGACAAUGGGCGAAAGCCUGAUCCAGCAAUACCGCGUGUGUGAAGAAGGCCUUAGGGUUGUAAAGCACUUUCAAUAGGAAGGAAAACCUCGAAGCUAAUACCUUCGAGUUUGACAUUACCUUUAGAAGAAGCACCGGCUAACUCCGUGCCAGCAGCCGCGGUAA
rnacentral:rRNA from 1 species